UUGGAGGGCAAGUCUGGUGCCAGCGGCCGCGGUAAUUCCAGCUCCAAUAGCGUAUAUUAAAGUUGUUGCAGUUAAAAAGCUCGUAGUUGAACUUCGGGGUUUACCCAUUGGUCAGGCUUAAUUGUCUGUACUGGUGAGAUAAAUCUCUACCUUCUGAGGAACUUUCAUGUCAUUAAUUUGGUGUGAUUGGAAAUCAGGACUGUUACUUUGAAAAAUUAGAGUGUUUAAAGCAGGCUAACGUCUGAAUACAUUAGCAUGGAAUAAUGAAAUAGGACGGACUGAUUCUAUUUCGUUGGUUUCUAGGAUCACCGUAAUGAUUAAUAGGGAUAGUUGGGGGCAUUAGUAUUCAAUUGUCAGAGGUGAAAUUCUUGGAUUUAUUGAAGACUAACUACUGCGAAAGCAUUUGCCAAGGAUGUUUUCAUUAAUCAAGAACGAAAGUUAGGGGAUCGAAGACGAUCAGAUACCGUCGUAGUCUUAAUCAUAAACUAUGCCGACUAGGGAUCGGACGAAGUUAAUUUUAUAAUGACGCGUUCGGCACCUUAC
rnacentral:rRNA from 1 species